AGGGAAGUGGGGCUUAGUAUUUCACCAGUAUGACUGGAGCAACAAUCAAGCGGAGAUGGUCUGUUGAGCCGGGGUUGAAAUACUGAUCUUGAUUGCAGAUGGAAGGCAGGUGUGCGUGGCGGGAGAAGGUGAUGGUGGGAUGGAAACCAGGUGCCCUCAAUCAGCUGGCAGCAGCAGCGGAAGGGGGAGAACACAGGAGGCACAAAGAGAGGCAGGGCCAACAGAAAAACACAGAGAAGGCAGAACCUACCGAGAAACUGACAGUGAAAAAACCAAAUAGAAAAUAGUAAACAAAACAGAAA